ACAUAUGUUACUUGAACAGUAUCUGUUAUAUGGUCUUGUACCUCUGUAUUCUUCAGUUCUAAGGAGACAGGAACCUAAAUCUGGUGUAUGUAUUAGGACUGUGCAAUCAGUGUGAUUAACAGCUGAGAUUUCAUGAUCUGGGUCUCCCCAGCAGUAGAGGAUCAUUCUCACUCAUCCUUGAUCUGAUGUUUGAGAUGGUCAUACUGAUACAGUUGUCUGACAGACU
rnacentral:snoRNA from 1 species